AUUGAACGCUGGCGGCAGGCCUAACACAUGCAAGUCGAGCGGAUGAAGGGAGCUUGCUCCUGGAUUCAGCGGCGGACGGGUGAGUAAUGCCUAGGAAUCUGCCUGGUAGUGGGGGAUAACGUCCGGAAACGGGCGCUAAUACCGCAUACGUCCUGAUGGAGAAAGGGGGGGAUCUUCGGACCUCACGCUAUCAGAUGAGCCUAGGUCGGAUUAGCUAGUUGGUGGGGUAAAGGCCUACCAAGGCGACGAUCCGUAACUGGUCUGAGAGGAUGAUCAGUCACACUGGAACUGAGACACGGUCCAGACUCCUACGGGAGGCAGCAGUGGGGAAUAUUGGGCAAUGGGCGAAAGCCUGAUCCAGCCAUGCCGCGUGUGUGAAGAAGGUCUUCGGAUUGUAAAGCACUUUAAGUUGGGAGGAAGGGCAGUAAGUUAAUACCUUGCUGUUUUGACGUUACCAACAGAAUAAGCACCGGCUAACUUCGUG
rnacentral:rRNA from 1 species